rnacentral:rRNA from 1 species
ACUCAAAGGAAUUGACGGGGGCCCGCACAAGCGGCGGAGCAUGUUGCUUAAUUCGAGGCGACGCGAAGAACCUUACCUGGGUUGAACUACGCAGGAAAAGCCACAGAGAUGUGGUGUCCUUCGGGGCCUGUGAUAGGUGGUGCAUGGCUGUCGUCAGCUCGUGUCGUGAGAUGUUGGGUUAAGUCCCGCAACGAGCGCAACCCUUGUCCUAUGUUGCCAGCGGGUAAUGCCGGGGACUCGUAGGAGACUGCCGGGGUCAACUCGGAGGAAGGUGGGGACGACGUCAAGUCAUCAUGCCCCUUAAGCCCAGGGCUGCAAACAUGCUACAAUGGCCAGUACAAAGGGCUGCUAUACCGCGAGGUUGAGCGAAUCCCAUAAAGCUGGUCUCAGUUCGGAUUGGAGUCUGCAACUCGACUCCAUGAAGCCGGAGUCGCUAGUAAUCCCGGAUCAGCAACGCCGGGGUGAAUACGUUCCCGGGCCUUGUACACACCGCCCGU